rnacentral:rRNA from 1 species
AUUGAACGCUGGCGGCAUGCCUUACACAUGCAAGUCGAACGAUAACAGGGAGCUUGCUCCGCUGACGAGUGGCGAACGGGUGAGUAAUGUAUCGGAACGUACCUUUCAGUGGGGGAUAACGUAGCGAUAGUUACGCUAAUACCGCAUAUUCUGUGAGCAGGAAAGCAGGGGACCUUCGGGCCUUGCGCUGAUUGAGCGGCUGAUAUCAGAUUAGCUAGUUGGUGAGGUAAAGGCUCACCAAGGCGACGAUCUGUAGCGGGUCUGAGAGGAUGAUCCGCCACACUGGAACUGAGACACGGUCCAGACUCCUACGGGAGGCAGCAGUGGGGAAUUUUGGACAAUGGGGGCAACCCUGAUCCAGCCAUGCCGCGUGAGUGAAGAAGGCCUUCGGGUUGUAAAGCUCUUUCGGCCGGGAAAAAAUCGCAUGGGCUAAUACCCUGUGUGGAUGAUGGUACCGGAAUAAGAAGCACCGGCUAACUACGUGCCAGCCGCCGCUGUAA